rnacentral:rRNA from 1 species
CAACCUGCCGAUAACUCCGGAAUAGCCUUUCGAAAGAAGGAUUAAUACCGGAUGGCAUACGAAUAUCGCAUGAUAUUUUUAUUAAAGAAUUUCGGUUAUCGAUGGGGAUGCGUUCCAUUAGUUUGUUGGCGGGGUAACGGCCCACCAAGACAACGAUGGAUAGGGGUUCUGAGAGGAAGGUCCCCCACAUUGGAACUGAGACACGGUCCAAACUCCUACGGGAGGCAGCAGUGAGGAAUAUUGGUCAAUGGGCGAGAGCCUGAACCAGCCAAGUAGCGUGAAGGAUGAAGGCUCUAUGGGUCGUAAACUUCUUUUAUAUGGGAAUAAAGUAUUCCACGUGUAGAAUUUUGUAUGUACCAUAUGAAUAAGGAUCGGCUAACUCCGUGCCAGCAGCCGCGGUAAUACGGAGGAUCCGAGCGUUAUCCGGAUUUAUUGGGUUUAAAGGGAGCGUAGGUGGAUUGUUAAGUCAGUUGUGAAAGUUCGCGGCUCAACCGUAAAAUUGCAGUUGAAACUGGCAGUCUUGAGUACAGUAGAGGUGGGCGGAAUUCGUGGUGUAGCGGUGAAAUGCUUAGAUAUCACGAAGAACUCCGAUUG